CUCUUUUCCAAGAACAUAUAUAACUUUCUUUCAAAAUGUAGACUUUAAACGAGACUUAGAAUAUGCCACGGACUUUAAAGACUUAAUCAAGCAGAAUAUAGACUUUUACUUCUCCGAAUCUAGCCUAAGUUUAAAGGAUCUACCUUAGGUAGAUUUUAGGAGGUGCCUAACACCUUUCCCUUAGAAUAACUAGAACCCUUACCCAAAUCUCUCCGGUUAGUAGACUAUUAGGUUAAUAAUCUACCAGACACAUAAGUACUCUAAUAUAGCGUAAAUAUUAAGUGGAGACUCUUUUUAUCAACCACAGAAGAACCACUAAUUGAAUCUUAUUUUGACCUGUGCAAAAUAGGGUGCAACAACAUGGAGACUCUGUUGGGGAUUUACACUUAGGUUCUGAUCUUAGCAGACUUAGGCUAGAUCUCAAAUUUAGGGACGUUUGCUUAUAUGCUGCUUUAACUCCACUUAAUUUUACGAAUAUGUGCUUACUUGUCUUACUUAUUUAUAUUUCUAUAACCUGCCAAGCAUGUACUUAUUUUCCUGCUUUUAAUAUUGGUACUGCUAUCACCAAUUAUCUGUUACUGCUUUAUACACUGUCAUCAUAUUUCUCCUUAUCGAGUCUUGGCCGUAUACUAUUACACACAAAUAACACGCAAGGGUUGUCUUUUACACCCCUCCGAACCUUCUUUCAAAAUUCUUUAGUUUCAGAGAACUGCUUUGUCAGGUCAACUAACAUAACGUCGCCCAGUGUUUAAUCCAACUCCAAAAUUAGAAAACACUCUAUUUUAGCAAGUAUAGUUCAUACUGCAUAAAACCUUAGGCGGGUCGAUCCUUCGUACUGACUCAUGAUUAGGAAAGCCACCUUAAUAUCAACGGGUCAUGCACCUAAUGACAUACCUUUUGUGAAAUGAUGAACCAAUCCAGAUUAGACGCUAAAAGAUCCGGAGAAAAAACUUACAAGACCUUUUCACUUCUUUAUAUGAAAAUCAACUGGAACGUCCCCAAAAUCAAUAUGGUCAUGGGUGCACCAUACAAGCUGAAGCAGUGGUGGAGAAAUAUUUACCGAGAGCCGGAUGAAAUCAGGACACACUUGGGAGCAUUGACCUCUUUGAUAAAUAUUAGAGCCGACAAAGUCCUUACUAGGUUGCUGAUAGAGUUUUGGGACCCAGGUAAGGUGGUUUCAAGUUUGUCGACUGUGAGUUAACGCCAACACUGGAGGAAGUCACUAGCUUCACAGAGUUACCGUUUGUUGGGAGAAAACCAAUACUGCCAGUUGUCAUGCCCGGCCACAAGUUACUUCAUGCAUUGGGUUUAUCAAACAACAAAAAAUUGAGAAACAGUGAAGAUAGAUGGGUGAGUUUAGACAAGCUGUUUGACAAAUUCAGACACUGAGAAAGUUACGAGUAACACAUUGAAGAAUUUUAAUACGAUCAAGAAACAUGGGAGAGUCUCUGUCGUCUAACCUUUUCUCUGGCAUUGUUGGGAUUAUUGGUCUUCCUGCAAAAAAAGGGACUAAUCAAUAUCAACCUGCUUCCCCUGGUCUUGGCAACCUUUCAAGGGAAUCUGCAAGUUACCCUUGUCCCCAUGAUAUUGGCAAAAACACUCCGAGCACUGUCAGCAUAUUCCGGAGGAUAUGAAUUUUUCAGAGGCUACAACCUACUACUCCAGAUAUGGAUCAGAGAACAUUUAUUUCAGAGGGAGCCACCUAUUGAUUAUUUUGUGGGCAUAAGUAACAUUAUCAAGAGCCACAAUGUGAGGAUGAGGCACUAUGUUAUGUCGCACGGGCCAGAGGAGUGGAGAGACAUGCUGACUAUCUGAGUGGAGAUUGGGUAAACUGGAAGCUUUCACAGUUAAGUGGCAGGGCAAUGUUGAGAAGCCCAAGAAAAUGCUUCAUCGAGUUAGUGGGACUUGAAGAAAUUUAGCCGUAUACAACCCUAAAAGUUCUAAGGCAAUUUUCUGUGAUUCAAGACGUACCCCUCUGGUCGAGAACAACUUUGUAUGAAGAUGACUACAAUAGAAAAAUUCCAAUCCGGAGGGUGAGGAGACUUCAAGAUAAAUGGAACGACUUGAUCAUGAUGCCAAUGGGUCAGAAUUCCUAGUGCAUUUCUGAGUACUUUAUGUUGAUCAACGAGGAGGACGAGUUGGCCAGACCACGUAGAGAAGGGUUGACCGUACUAGAGGAUUCAGCAGUAGCUCUGCAGAUAUAUGACGAGAGUUUGCCUCACUGUCUUGUUACCAUCGCCAUGCAUCAACAGGUAGUGCCAGGGUCGGUCGACCUCAUGUUGGUGACUGAGUACAUACAGAUUGAGUCAAAGACAGAUCUAGAAAAGGAUCCCAAGAAAGAACCAGAGUACAAUAGUGAUGAGGAAGAAGAAGUCGAAGAGGACCCUUAGGAGAAGCCUGAAGAAGAAAACCUGGGAGGUGACUCCGGGGAAGAUUAUUAGAGGCUGCUUGAUUUCCCUUUAUCUUGUACCCCUUUUUCAUUUCCCUAAGGGCGAACCUAUGAGCCCAUGUAGUCUUUUGAACUUAGAAAACAAUGUUGUAACCACCGCUCCCAUCUAUUUUAAUCCAAAGCCUAUCAAUGAAAUAUCAAUGUUUGCUUCGGAUCAAAAUGCGUCAAAUAUGAUUGUUCAUCAAACAUUCGCAAGAUAGGACUACCUACGGAAAAGAGAGGUCCUUCAUAUCUUAGGAAACGCGCUUACCUGAAUACGUGAAUUAAUUGCUCUAUGUGUUUAUAUUUGUGCAAUCUCUAAAACUAACUUCUACUUUUCCUUAUUUUCCUCCUUUAUUACAUUAAUUUAUCCCCGAAAAUAGAGGUUUAUUUGUCUUGAUAUGUAAAAUUGUCUGAGCCACCAUACAAUCUGAGAUCCAAGAGCAAAAUGUCAACAACCGACGACUCGGCCGAAAAUGCUCUAGUAAUAGCCGACAUCCCAGGGCAAUCAGGGGAAAGGACGAUCCCCAAAAUGAUGAACAUGUUGCCAGAAUUGCACAGGAAUUGGCGUCGCUAAGAGAAGAAGUACAACAUAUUCGGGAGCUAGCGCAUUUGACCAUGAUGAUGCUUUGCAAACCACCCCGCUUCUCUUCAUUAGAUUUUAUCCCUGAUUAUUUCUCUUCAUAACCGGACAAACAACAAGUACCCCAACCACAGUCACUACAAAUCUUACAAUCCAAGUUGUGCCACCAGUAAACCCCAUAAAUCUGCCAAAUCCCAUAUACAUACACCUUAUGUCCAAUCACCAUCAAAUCCACCAGCCACCACCAACUUAAUUCACAUCCCUCCUCGCGGUAACAUCACUUUUACCAACAACCAGAACUAGCACAUACCCGCGGUACACAACGCCACAAUGAGCGGUAUGUUUCACCUGUAUAUGUCAACUCUGAACCUACCUUUACCGUGCCUGUCACGGUCAGAAUGCCUUACGAUCGAUCAAUAUGCUGAGAUGGAGAAUGAAGCAAAGUAUAAGGAAGGGGAUUCAGUGUCGAAACAACUGUGAGUGUUGAGAAAGAAGAUGAAUAAUCUCCAGGUUGAUUAGGGAGCGAGAGUCUAGAUUGUGAGGACUUUUGUAUACAUCCCGAUUUUGACAUGCUCGCAGGGUAUAAGCCUCUGAAGUUCUACAUCUUUGACAAAACGGGUGAUCCCCACGCUCAUUUGAGGGCUUACCACGAGAAGAAAUGAAAAGCUGAGAAUGAAAUUUUUAUAAGGAGUUUGACGGGAGAAGCGCUUACUUGGUAUACCCACAAAGACCCUAAGAAUUGAAGAGAGUGACAAGAAAUGGCAGAGGACUUUAUGAAUCACUUCUAAUUUAAUACCGAGAUCACUGUAGAUAGGUUUUCCCUAGUGAAUUUGCAAAAGAAACCCUCAGAAUCAUUUCAAGACUAUGCCCGCCGUUGGAGAUCGGAAGCUGCCAGGACCCAACUCCCUGUUUAUCAAUAAAAUGAUACAGUUGAAUUUAUAUGUGGUUUAUAGACAAGUUAAUUGAUUUGAUCCAAAAAUAAUAGAUGAAUUAGACAGAAAUAUAAGACUUAGCCUUAAAAUUGAAAUAGACAGCAUAUAUCUUGGUUCCGGGCGCAGAGCUGCCGGGAGCAAUAAGAACAAUACAAAUAAACAAGAAAGUAAAAUGUUAUUGAGCUUUUGAUAAAAUAUAAUGUAUGCUUGCCAAAAAAUUCGUGUCCCCUACAAUGAUAAUAGAGCUCACUAUUUAUAGCUGCACCUAGGGAACAAAGUUCUAGGAUUAAGUUCCUCUUUAAUGACAUUUAUGAGGGCAAUUGAAGGAUGUGUAAGGGAGGACAGUGAAUGUCAUAUUCUCUGUAAUGGAUCAUGCACUUAAUGCUGUAGAAUAUUCUUCAUUGAAUGCUACCCGAUGACUAUAUUAAUUUUGUCCUUAUGAGUAUCAUUCUCUCCGAUAACAAGUGAGAUCAUUGCCUUCGGGUUUAGCUAUCUUCUGCCUUCGGUUCCACGGGUCACAUUCUCAUGCGAUCAUUAAAUAUAAACAUAUUUUAACCCAUACAGAUAGUCCCCCUACUUUCCGAUGGCAUAACUUUAUGUCACCAGGAAGUUGGUAGAAAUACCUUUUUUGGCAGAAAAUUCUCUGACCCCCUUUGAAAAGUUUCUGACGGUUGAUUAGACGCACGUCUCUACACAUUUAAUGCCCCGAAAAUGCGUCAUCCCACCAUUUAGUUUUGUCGAUUAUCGAGGUAAUUAUGGCCACAAUUUUAGCCGCCUAUACCCUUACUUAUACACAUCAAACCUCUUUAUUUACACUUCAUAAUUUUCUACACUUUCUCAAACUCUCUUUACUCAACUCGUACUUUGUCUUCAACCUUUCUUUAACCUUCUUCUUGAGAGAAAACCUUCCCUUCAUUCUCAUAAAAAUGGCCUCUUCUUCUAGAAACCCUAGUUCUUCAAAGAAUAAAGGUAAAGCUGAUGACACCGUUCUUCCUACGGUAAACACUAUCAUCCUGAAGAGUCUUGUAGCAACCAAAGAUUUUGAAGACAAGUUUCCUUACACUAACCCUCGCACAUAGGCCAUUGGCGUGCACCCUUCUUCCAUCUGUCCUUCCAGCAUUCCCGUUGUGAAGGAAGAGUACAAUUGUCGGGAUAUAGACCUUAUUGCUCCUGACCUGGCAGAGCAAAUAACUCUCCCCAAGAAGAGUUUCACAUAUUUUUAUACGUAUCCCUUCACUUUGGGGCCAUUUGCUUUGAGAGGGGAGCUUGAUUCCGUUAUUGUGGAGUUUUACAUCUACUACCAAGUGUGCCACGAUACGAGAGAAGAGCUAACCCUAUCUCAGUUAAUGAAUCCUUAUUCCCCCAAGAGUUUUUGUGGGGGAAUGAUAAAAUUCGACUAACAUUGCCACCAUGCCCUACUGCCUAGUAUGGAUGAUGACAAUAAUCGUGGAUGGAUGGAAUAGUUUGUUAUAGUUUCCACCAAGGAUAUCAUUCCGGCCUCGGCUUCAUCCUUUUCGGAGUUGUGGAACCGUGUUCCAACUCGGUGGGUUCCAUAGCGGGUUGAAGGUUUGGACCAGUGCGUCCAAAAGAUUUUGGAAGUUACUACACCAGAAACCCGUACGUAGAAGGAAUUAACCCUCAAAUACGGAUGGAAGGCCAAAAAUCAUAGUCUACCUAGGGCUCAGUUGUUGAUGAUGAUGGAGAUGCCAGUUAUGAUAGGGCUUCUCUACAUAAAAGACGACGACCUUCAUCAACUAAAUGGGAUGCUCAAUCUGUUGAGUUAGCUACACCAACCGGGGACGAUGCCUCCACACUCUGGGGGCAAUUUGAUUUGGUCGAAGAUGCCAACUCACACUUCCGAGUCCUAGCUGACGCACCCGGUACUAUAGGGCUAAGUACCAGGCCUCUCCUGUCUUCGGUUGACGAGCAACCAUCAACCAGCACAGCACCUGCCACAACUGCUUCUCGCCCUAUAAUGCCAUAUGCUUAACCUCCCUCUUCUCCAACUCAACCUUCGCCACCAACCACUGCUACAUAAUUUACACCGGCCGUGGGUGCCCGAGAGGAUGAUGUCCCUCUUUCUCAGUCCCCAGUUCAUGGGAACCUGGGGCAAAAAUAUGCUGCCCCCUCAGAAGAUCCCCAAAGGAGGAGGAGCGCCACCCUCUCGGUUUCCACCAGGCCAACAUCCUUGAUUUUGAGGGCCUUCAAAGAUUGAUUCGUGAUAAGGAGGAACAUACCUUCGAGCGGGAUCAAAAUUUGGCCGAGAGGGACCAAAUUGCUGCUCGCCUCUCAGAACUGGAAGCUCGAGCUGCUGAGGCUGUUGAAUUGGAGGCUCAGUUGCAGUAAAAUGCGCAAGAAAUAAUGACCCAUAGCCAAGAGGUUAUCCCAUUAAGGGCACAAUAUAAAGAAACUGAGGCCAAAUGGGUUGAAGUUCAUAAUGUCGUCCUUGCUACGUCCGAGAUGUGAGGUUGUCUCUAUUGAAAGAUUGAAUAAUUUGGAGGUAACCUUAAACUCCAAGGGUAAAGAACUGGAAUAGCAUGCCCAGUUGGAGGAGAAACCUUAGAGAAUAAUAAAAUUUAUUGCUCCACUGUCCGUGAUUUUGAAGCCAGCCUCUGAUCUAUGAGAUUCGUGCGAGACAAACUCUCUGUUGAGGUCGGCUAGCUUAAAGGAGAACUUCAGCGCCCAGUGGCUUCCCUCAUUAUUGAAAAAAUAUAUGCUGUGUACAACAUGAGGAGAAAAACCUUAGAAGAGGCUAAAGCGGACGUCAUUGACUUUGAUGCCGAAAUCGGCAAAGCCCGUGAGCUGGAGUUGGCUACUACAAGGGUCUUACGGCUAGGCCCGAUGCUACUAAUUCUUUUGGUUCUAGUUCUGAGUUCUCGGGAACUGAAGAGGAACCGGAAGGUGAUGAUGCUGAAGGCCAAAAUGACGCAGGCCAAGAUAUUGAACCAGUGACGAAUCUACCCACUUCUCUUGAGAGAGCGGAUGCUUCUCUUCCUCCGGGUUCCGGGGAUGCAGCAGCUUAGUUUUUGAU